UCUAUACCCCAGGUCCAGGUACCCUCGCCCCCAGAGGAGGAAAUCGCACCUAGACCUAGGAGAUGUUACCCUUUCCCCGGAGUGGAGACAAGCAGACCACCCCCGGCCCUGCAGGAGCAGUAAUGCAGUUCUGCUUGUGCUGAGUGAUGUAAACAAGCGAUCGAUCUACGCUCUCGGACGGCCAACACCUCCGCCAAGCCCCUCCGCCCCAAUGGCUAACAGACAACGGGGGUGUGUGAAGACAAACCUACGUCUGCCAGCACAGACCCUAUCCCAGCCCUGCUGCAUGCAACCACGAGGGAAACACCAUCUAAGAGCCACCAGAGCCCCUAACCAGGUCAUGACCACAACCCCCGGGUUAAGCCCUCCAGGGGAAACGUCCCUAGGGACUCUCCAGAUGGCCUAAGCCCGUCCCUACCUCCACAUCAACCACAAUAGCGAAGACAGGACCAAACUACAACCCCCGACCCCUGCUUGGUGAUGGAGCUGAUCAAAGGAGCCCAGAGGGAUUGAGCUAAUAUGGUGGCAGAGGCUGUAUCGAGACUAAUGUGAUCUAUUAGAUGGUUUCUAUAUUGGUUAGAAUUAAGAUUAUUUUUAUUUUUCCAGUUCAUGAGGACCAUUUUCUUGGCAAUGCAUAGGGCAGUAAAAACCAUGUGGACUGUAUUUGUUUCUGUAGUGACAUCAUCCAAUUUGCCCAACAAGCACACUAAAGGGGAGGCUGGAAUUUUACAUUUCAGACACUUUGAUAAGUCUUCACAUAUCCCGCGCCAAAACUUCUGAACUGGUGGACAGUACCAAAGAGCAUGGAUGUAAUUGUCUGGUGUAUUGCCUUGACAGUGUGAGCAGUUGUUGGAAGAUGUAAAGUCCAUCUGGAACAUCCGAUGAUCUGUAUAGUGCACUCUAUGUAGUAUUUUGUAUUUUAUUAAUUGCAGACUGGGAAUUCUAAUCAAUUGAAAGGUUUUGGAUUUAACAGGAAGCCAAUCAAGAGAAGCCGAUGUGAGAGAAAUAUGCUUCCCCUCAGUGUUAAUGCUAUCCAGAGUAAGUAUCUGGUUAGACACCAUGAUUCUAAGACUUUAAUGUCCAAGUACAAUAACCUCUGUUUAAUCUCAAUUUCAAUGCAGGAAAUGAGAUGUGAUACAGGAGUUUAUGUUUUUAUGACAUUUCUGCAGUUUAACUAAAUGACGUGUCUCCUUUGGCGUCGUAGAUAGAUAAAGCUGAGUAUCAUCUGCAUAGCUAUGCUAUGGCAGUAUACUGCUUGAGAGAAGCAUGCCUCAUGUAAAUAGAAUUGGUUCUAUUUAACUCUGUGGAACUCAAUAAUUAACCUUAGGAUGUGGAGAAGACUCCCCAUUUACAUGAACAAAUUGGUCUAUUUGGUAUAUAUGAUUCAAAUCACUGCAGCACAGUACCUUUGAUAUAUCUAAUCUCUGUAAUAAAAUAUGAUCAGAAGUAUAGUAUGCUACUUUGAGGUCUAGGGGAACAAAUGGAGAUAAGUCCAUUGUCAUAGGUAAUAAGAAAAUCAUCUAUAAUCUUCAAUAAUAUUGUUUCUGUACAUUAAUGAAUUCUGAAUCUGUACUGAAACUCUUAGAAUAAACAAUUCCUCUGCAGAUGAUCAGUUAGCUGUUUUAAUAAUAAUAAUAAUAAUAAUAAAUUUUAUUUAUGAGCGCCUUUCAAGUCACCCAAGGACACUUUACAAUAGGAAGACACAUAGUAAAACAAU